UGAAACUUGCGUGGAACGGGCCACUCUGCCAGGCCGUUGUAAACAUGUUUCG
rnacentral:pre_miRNA from 1 species